rnacentral:lncRNA from 1 species
GACUGAUUGUCUUCAAGCUGAGCACACACUGAGCACUGGGCCUGCCUUCUUCCUAACACAGGUUUUUGUAAGCUCCAGACAUUGGAUAAAGCAUUUUGAGGGAUAGGUGAAAACGAAAUCCUGCCCUUUACUCUUGAGAACUCACUCUGCUGUGGGAGGAGAGACAGGCAGGUUACAGGGAGAGCACCCUGUCUGUGAAGAAGCAGGUUCUCAUCUGAUACCAAAUCUGCUGGCACCUUGAUCUUGGACUUCCCAGACUCCAGGACUGUGAGUAACACAUUUGUGUUGUUUACAAGCUGCUCAGAAGGUGGUAAAUUGUGAUAGCAGGCCAAAUGGACCACGACAGGGUAUAAGUUGUUUUAUCCCCAUUUUAUAGAAGAGGUAAACAGGCUCAGGAUGAGCACAGGCCAAAACCGCCUAAUGAAUAUUAGCAACCAGAUAUUUCCUGGCACACAGUCCACACCAAGUAAAUGUUUGAGCGGCUGUUGAGCUGAAUCAUUGUUUAAUUUUUGUCUUUCCACCACAGGAAGAUCACAGAUUGACAUCAGCAGGAAAACUUGCCAGGCAGCAGGAGGAUCCAUUUGAAAACUCACGAGAAAAAGGCCCUUGAGGCCUUUUUCCUGGUUAUUGAAGACAUCUUAGGAAACACUUAUGGUGACAAUUAAUCAAGCAAAAAUAGAUCCAGUUUUUCUGAAGAUCAAGCUUAACAUGUGUGCCAUGCUUUAAAAUGUCUUUCCAGGCACUCUCUCCUGCCCACGGAUCUUGCUUGGGAAAGGAAUGGGGCAAGUGGAAAUGGCCAUUUCUUAGAUGAACACAUCAGGGACUUGCUCCAGUCUGAAGUCUAUACAGAGCUAGGCUUUGAAUCCAGUCACGUAACUCAGGUGUGUGUUCAGAGCUUGACGGAUUACCACCAGGCUGGGCCAACAGGGUCGUUUUCAAGUCAGCUAGCCCUAAAAGGGCAAAAAAUUGUUGCAAUGCUCCCAGAUGUAACUCUGACCUGGUAUGGUUCAGGGACGAGGCCACUCACACACACUUGGGCAACUGCUCUUCUCGUGACCAGCCUCUUUCUGUGGGAAUCACUCCAUGGAGCCACCGUCUCUCCCAAGCUACAAUGUUCUACAAUGGUGCAAGUGGGGGAAAAAUUUCAACAAAAUUUUGGAUAUCAGCUGCUUUAUGAAGGCAUGAUUUAUAAUGAUUUAUUAUAAAAUGAUGGUGUUUUAAUG